AGUGGAAUAGUUAGGUCAAAUGGUGCUUCCAUUCCAAGUUUUCUAAGAAAUCUCUAUACUGUUUUCCAUAUUGGCUGCACCAAUUUGCAGUUCCACCAACAAU
rnacentral:pre_miRNA from 1 species